GAUGAACGCUGGCGGCGUGCUUAACACAUGCAAGUCGAACGAAGCACUUUACUUGAUCUUUUCGGAGUGAUUGUUUUGUGACUGAGUGGCGGACGGGUGAGUAACGCGUGGGUAACCUGCCUCACACAGGGGGAUAACAGUUGGAAACGGCUGCUAAUACCGCAUAAGCGCACAGUACCGCAUGGUACGGUGUGAAAAACUCCGGUGGUGUGAGAUGGACCCGCGUCUGAUUAGCCAGUUGGCAGGGUAACGGCCUACCAAAGCAACGAUCAGUAGCCGAUCUGAGAGGAUGUACGGCCACAUUGGGACUGAGACACGGCCCAGACUCCUACGGGAGGCAGCAGUGGGGAAUAUUGCACAAUGGAGGAAACUCUGAUGCAGCGACGCCGCGUGAGUGAAGAAGUAUUUCGGUAUGUAAAGCUCUAUCAGCAGGGAAGAAAAUGACGGUACCUGACUAAGAAGCACCGGCUAAAUACGUGCCAGCAGCCGCCGUAA
rnacentral:rRNA from 1 species